UACAGAGACUGCAAGCGUUAUUCGGAUUCACUGGGCGUAAAGGGUGCGCAGGUGGCCAAGUGUGUUAGGCGUGAAAGCCCGGGGCUUAACCCCGGAAUUGCACCUAAAACUACAUGGCUAGAGCAUUGGAGAGGGGAGCAGAAUUCACGGUGUAGCAGUGAAAUGCGUAGAUAUCGUGAGGAAUACCAGAGGCGAAGGCGGCUACCUGGACAAUUGCUGACGCUCAGGCACGAAAGCGUGGGGAGCCAAAAGGGAGUUAGAAACCCUUG
rnacentral:rRNA from 1 species